rnacentral:lncRNA from 1 species
AUCACCCCACUCUGACCUUUUUGAAGAUAGGCAUGCAACUUGUUUUGGCCAAUGAAAUGUGAUGGGAAGUGAUAAUGUGCCCUCCAGAGAGAAGCUGUAAGAGCCAGUGCACAGCUUUACUACCUGCCACGGAGAUCAUAGACACCUAUGCUGAUAUGAAACCUUCAUCAAACGCUGGGUCUCUAAAUGACUGCAAUGGACAGAGACCCCUGCCCCAUCACCAAUAAUCUUGCCAACCAACUGGACGUUUAGAAUCAGGAAAAAGAAAAUCAAGUUUUUAUUAGGAUGCCUCACAAACAUGCCUCAUCAGAUGGGACAUCAUACAGCAUGAUGUAA